ACUGGCAGACAUAAUAUGUCGAGGCAACCACCUGUGGUUUUGGGUUCUCUGAACAUUCAGAGGUCCUGCCGCCCGAAAAAAACAUCACCCCCGCGCUGUAAAAUCAUUACAGAACAUCUCUCCUUUGAGGCAAGACUGCGGAGCGAGGGCUAGUUAAACAUACUAUCCCCUCUGUACGAACGGCCAACAGCCCAGAACAGCUCAAAGAUCAUCAGCGAAUCCGUCCAAAUGGAGCUUUCUGAAGUUGCUCAGGGGAAUAAAUUAUCUGGAACAGCCUUCGUUAGAAGGGGGUUCAGAGGAGCAAAACGCGUGCAGCCAGUCCCCAUCACAUUAUUGUAGACCUGACAUACCACCAAGAAGGAUAACUGCCUCCUUAUGGACCCUGAACGACUUCCGAUGAUAAUUAUAUAUAUACUCCAACGAGACAUGCCCAGCAGAAUCUGGAAUACCUGGUGAAAGAGCCCCCGGUUUCCGCGAUCCGUCAGAACAGCCAUCGUCAAAAAAGCUGAGACUCCUCCCCGGCGUAUAACGGCACAGAAGACCUCACACACCUCGAGCACGCAGAGGAUUUCGGCUCACCAGACGUUCACAAUGAAACAACGAAACCAGAGGAUUUCAUCGUUUUAAAAGACAUUUCAGAGGUAGACGACCUGCUAUUAUGGGAGGCGGCCAACCUUCUUGAUUCAGCCAAUUCUUUGGUGGAAACACCCGAACCUGAAAUAGAACAAGCUAGGUUUUUCACAGCCUUUUCCAGGACUCUAAAAUCCCGAAAGGUUUUGCUCCACAAACGAAUGGGGGCUUUACUCGAGCAACAAUAACAUAUUAUCCCCAAUACCCCCGAACUCAUAGAAAUAAUUAACUGUAUGAAUGAGUCAGAGACGACUGAUGAAAAACUGUUAUGAGAGCUUCAGGAAUCUGGGAUAUCGUCAAUUAAACAGAUGAAUGAGAGCAUAAGAUCUUCUACACCGGACCCACACAGACCCCGCCAUUAACGCCCAUGUCCAAAAGAGUCUGAAACGCAAUACAAUGUUUUUGAGAAAUUGGAAAAUUGUCUAAUAAAUCAGGAGGGAGAUGCUAUUGAUAGAAGUGUCCGGGUUGUGUACCGAAAUAAAUUCAGCAAUACAGAGAUUCGACAAUUUUUCAAUUUUACAUGGGUGAAUCAGAAUCUUGACUAUGCAGUGUUUUAUGUGAUGAUACUGCAGUGUUUUAUGUGAUGAUACUGGAUACUCUGAACGCACUGUUAGACAGGGCAAGAGAUUAUGGCAAACCUCGUGAUGUCUUACAGUUGGAAAUUUGUGGAGAUAGCCUGCAUAACACGGUAUCUCUUAUUUUACCCAAUGGCGAAGCAGACCGUGAACAAUUUAUAUCCCUGCUGGAACGACUUGUUCAGUCAAAUGUAUCCGUCAUAGCCGAUAGGACCCUCGAGCUUGUAGUGCAAAUAAUACGGCAACCCCUGGGUGGUCAGAGAAGGAAACUAGAUAGCCUAAUGCAAUCAGAAAUCAUAAGCAAUAAAAGGGCGUAUCUCAUAAACGUUCACAAUCCUGGUAAAAAGCUAUGCUUUGCAAUAGGCCUAGCACAUUUACUCAACCCUGGGUGUACAGAUCUAGCGCCGUUACACAAGGCUAGAGAGCUCCAAACGGCCGUGGGUCUAGGUAUACAGGAUGCGGUGGCUUUCUCAGACAGUCAAGUUUGAAAACCUGAACAUCAAGAUUGUGGUUUUGUACCACAGUAGAGCUAAUGCAGCUCUCUUGAAAUUCCAAAACAACCCCCAACCUCAUCCUCAGAUUCUGUACUUUUAUGUGCAAAACGUCCACUAUUAUGCUAUUACUAACAUCACAGCGUUUUUAGGCGCCAUACCGGCUACGCCCGAAAGGGGGGGCACUCGUGCCGUUAAAGCUGUUCAGUAUGUCUGGAUGAAAAUUGUCCGAUGCAGCCCUUAAACCUGACCUUGUGAGGAUUGUCGCCGCAAAUGUCGUAGGGCCUACUGUUACGAAAAACACAAAAUUGAAACAUGGCACCCCAAGGCCUGUAAAUCUGUAAGCAGUUGUGACAUUAACUUCUUAUGGCUGCAGGGCAGUAUUGAGUAGCUUGGAUGAAAGGUGCCCAGAGUAAACUGCCUGCUCCUCAGUCCCAGUUGCUAAUAUAUGCUUAUUAUUAUUAGU